rnacentral:rRNA from 1 species
AUUGAACGCUGGCGGCAGGCCUAACACAUGCAAGUCGAACGGUAACAGGAAGAAGCUUGCUUCUUUGCUGACGAGUGGGGGCGGGGUGGGAAUUUCCUGGGAACUUCCUGGUGGGAGGGGAUAACUACUUGAAACGGGAACUAAUACCGGCUAAACUCGCCAAGACCAAGGAGGGGGCCUUCCGGCCUCUUGCCCAUCGAUGUGGCCAGAUGGGAUUAGCUAGUAGGUGGGGUAACGGCUCACCUAGGCGACGAUCCCUAGCUGGUCUGAGAGGAUGACCAGCCACACUGGAACUGAGACACGGUCCAGACUCCUACGGGAGGCAGCAGUGGGGAAUAUUGCACAAUGGGCGCAAGCCUGAUGCAGCCAUGCCGCGUGUAUGAAGAAGGCCUUCGGGUUGUAAAGUACUUUCAGCGGGGAGGAAGGGAGUAAAGUUAAUACCUUUGCUCAUUGACGUUACCCGCAGAAGAAGCACCGGCUAACUCCGUG